GAAACUGGCGCACGGGUGAGUAACGCGUGGGUAUCUACCUUGGGGUGGGGAAUAACCGCUGGAAACGGCGGCUAAUACCGCAUACGCCUUUAGAGGGAAAGCUCCGGCGCCCUAAGAGGAGCCCGCGUUGGAUUAGCUUGUUGGUGAGGUAACGGCUCACCAAGGCUACGAUCUAUAGCUGGUCUGAGAGGAUGAUCAGCCACACUGGGACUGAGAUACGGCCCAGACUCCUACGGGAGGCAGCAGUGGGGAAUAUUGGACAAUGGGCGCAAGCCUGAUCCAGCCAUGCCGCGUGAGUGAAGAAGGCCUUAGGGUUGUAAAGCUCCUUCACCUGCGAAGAUGAUGACGGUAGCAGGAGAAGAAGCCCCGGCUAACUCCGUGCCAGCAGCCGCGGUAAUACGGAGGGAGCUAGCGUUGUUCGGAAUUACUGGGCGUAAAGGGCGCGUAGGCGGUAUGCCAUGUCAGGGGUGAAAGGCCUGGGCUCAACCCAGGAACUGCCUUUGAAACUGGCAAACUAGAGUCCGAUAGAGGAUGGCGGAAUUCCCAGUGUAGAGGUGAAAUUCGUAGAU
rnacentral:rRNA from 1 species